rnacentral:rRNA from 1 species
CCUAACACAAGCAAGUCUGAGCGGUAACAGAGAGUAGCUUGCUACUUUGCUGACGAGCGGCGGACGGGUGAGUAAUGCUUGGGAAUAUAGCCUUUUGGUGGGGGACAACAGUUGGAAACGACUGCUAAUACCGCAUGAUGUCUACGGACCAAAGUGGGGGACCUUCGGGCCUCACGCCAAAAGAUUAGCCCAAGUGGGAUUAGCUAGUUGGUNAGGUAAUGGCUUACCAAGGCANNNAUCCCUAGCUGGUUUGAGAGGAUGAUCAGCCACACUGGGACUGAGACACGGCCCAGACUCCUACGGGAGGCAGCAGUGGGGAAUAUUGCACAAUGGGCGCAAGCUCCUGAUGCAGCCAUGCCGCGUGUGUGAAGAAGGCCUUCGGGUUGUAAAGCACUUUCAGAUAAGGAGGAAAGGUUAAGUUUUAAUAGAGCUUAGCUGUGACGUUACUUACAGAAGAAGCACCGNCUAACUCCGUGCCAGCAGCCGCGGUAAUACGGAGGGUGCGAGCGUUAAUCGGAAUUACUGGGCGUAAAGCGUACGCAGGCGGUUUGUUAAGCGAGAUGUGAAAGCCCCGGGCUCAACCUGGGGAACUGCAUUUCGAACUGGCAAACUAGAGUGUGAUAGAGGGUGGUAGAAUUUCAGGUGUAGCGGUGAAAUGCGUA